GCGUCGGUAGCUCAAUUGGAUAGAGUACCUGACUUCGGAUCAGGUGGUUGCAGGUUCAAGUCCUGCCCGACGCACCA
rnacentral:tRNA from 1 species